UCAUGGCCCUACGAGUAGGGCUACACACGUGCUACAAUGGCGUAUACAGAGGGUGACRCGCGAGGKGGAGUGAAUCYCAGAAAGUACGUCUAAGUCCGGAUUGGAGUCUGCAACUCGACUCCAUGAAGUCGGAAUCGCUAGUAAUCGCGAAUSAGAAUGUCGCGGUGAAUACGUUCCC
rnacentral:rRNA from 1 species